GUUGCCUACGGGGCGCAGCAGUCGGGAAUAUUGCACAAUGGAGGAAACUCUGAUGCAGUGACGCCGCGUGAAGGAAGAAGGCUUUCGGGUUGUAAACUUCUUUUGUCAGGGAAGAGUAGAAGACGGUACCUGACGAAUAAGCCACGGCUAACUACGUGCCAGCAGCCGCGGUAAUACGUAGGUGGCAAGCGUUGUCCGGAUUUACUGGGUGUAAAGGGCGUGUAGCCGGGUUGACAAGUCAGAUGUGAAAUCCUGCGGCUUAACCGCAGAACUGCAUUUGAAACUGUUGAUCUUGAGUACUGGAG
rnacentral:rRNA from 1 species